GAUGAACGCUGGCGGCGUGCCUAAUACAUGCAAGUCGAGCGAACGGACGAGAAGCUUGCUUCUCUGAUGUUAGCGGCGGACGGGUGAGUAACACGUGGAUAACCUACCUAUAAGACUGGGAUAACUUCGGGAAACCGGAGCUAAUACCGGAUAAUAUUUUGAACCGCAUGGUUCAAAAGUGAAAGACGGUCUUGCUGUCACUUAUAGAUGGAUCCGCGCUGCAUUAGCUAGUUGGUAAGGUAACGGCUUACCAAGGCAACGAUGCAUAGCCGACCUGAGAGGCGGGGUGGCCACCGGGGAAGGUCGACGCGGACAAGACUACUACGGGAGGCAGCAGUAGGGUACAGUCCGCAAGGGGGGGAAACCUUACGCAUAGGGGGGGCGCGAGGAACAAAGGUGUCCGGAUCGGAACAAGGGGUUACGGUGUGUGAAAAGAUGUCGAAUGAAACGUGGCGAGAGUGACGGUACCGAAUAAGAAAGCAACGGCUAACUACGUG
rnacentral:rRNA from 1 species